UACGGAGGGUGCAAGCGUUAUCCGGAUUUACUGGGUUUAAAGGGUGCGUAGGCGGGCUUUUAAGUCAGCGGUGAAAUCUCCGGGCUCAACCCGGAAAUUGCCGUUGAUACUGUCAGUCUUGAGUACAGAUGAUGUGGGCGGAAUAUGACAUGUAGUGGUGAAAUACUUAGAUAUGUCAUAGAACACCGAUUGCGAAGGCAGCUCACAAAACUGUCACUGACGCUGAUGCACGAAAGCGUGGGGAUCAAACAGG
rnacentral:rRNA from 1 species